rnacentral:lncRNA from 1 species
CUUAAACACGCACACAAGCCCCUGGGCAGAGGAAAUCACACCAGCGAGGAGGUCAUAGUGCUGGAAGAGCAGCUGGCAUCUGCAUAGCUCUAGAAGGAAAGAGUGCAAUGCUGUUGGUGUGAGAAUGUGCCAUCCGGCAUUAAGGUAAGAACAGGCUGAAGGACGCACACAUGUACCUGCAGAAAACAAAGUGCAUCAAAUAACACGCCAGGUAUGUAUUGUAGAAUAAAUUUAUUUACCCGAUACAAAUGAAACUAGGUGUGAUGCUUCUUACUGUCAGCAUGGAAGUAGACAACUGAUCUUAUUUACAGCUUCUAAAGGUCACACAUGCAGUUGUAACUGGCGGAGUCGUUUGCUGCUGUCUAAAUGAAUGCAUCACGAGAUUUUGUAUUGCACCAACAUCUGUCUCACUGCCUUAGAGUUAAAUAAGUUACAGUACAGUGCAAAACAGGUCGAUUUGCACACAUGAUAAAAAACCCAAAGUUAUGAACCAGAGGCUUACAGUUUAACAUUCAGCUGUAGUCUUGUCCAUGAAUUUUAUAAAUAGGAUCGCAUUGUACAUAAGCUGUUAUAGAGCAGUAUGUUCGGAUGAUACGAUACAGAUUUGUCUACAACCCAAGGCAUGCAUUAUUUCGAUAUUGUACAUUUUAUAAACUGACAUUUUACAUACAGGAAUAUGGAAAAUUGGCCACAGCUCAGCGCUUCUUGUUCAGGGAUAAACAAGCUCUUCUCCAUGCAGCACAGAACCCAAACUCCUCUGGAGAGAGUUUCCCAUUCUGUAAGCUAUAUUGCACGUUUGUACAUCUGAAGUCCUACUGGUACCACACAUUUUCUUCCACAGAGAACACAAUGAGCUUUGUUUUGAGGGAAAGCAAAGAAUCUUUACACAUGAUACAUGCAGCAGUUUUGGUAGAUGUGUUGCUAAAAACACAUGCACGCAACAAAACAACCUCACAUUUCUGCAAAAUUGUUUAGGAAGUGAUUACUCCAGUAUUGCUGAAAAGGAAAGAAAGAAAAGGUAUCAGUUAAUGAAAGGAUGAAUGCUAAGUACCAUUCUAAAAGCAAGACUAAGAUCAACAGUGACAGAAGAAAGAAUGUUAAGUCUGAUAACCAACUGCUCUGUCAUUGAAGGGACACUCUCAGGUUACUUUGUCUGAAAGCCGGGGGCACUCUGGAGCCUCUCUCAGCUCUCCUCAACUCAGCAGAGCUGCCUUUACCAUCAGCGCACGGCAGCACUCCCUGCCAAAGGCUGCAAGGGAAAGUCAGGUAUGUUUGGGCAGCUCCCGUGCUUCCCUGCCUCGAGUCUCACGUUUUACUUCCAAGUUCUCACAUUACCCACUCGGAGCUUUUUUCUCCCCAAUCUAAAAAUACCUUCAAGGUGGUUGUUUUUUUUUUUUUUUCCCCUAAUUGAGACAUUAUAUUGCGAAUUUGGCCCAGGAGUGACCCAACAAUGUCCCUCUUUCCAGUUUUGCAGCUCGUUCUGCGAAGCAGUAGGAAAGCUUUGAAGAAGUCAUUAACUAUGCAGAUUAAUGUGUAGGCAAAGGGUAGAGUACAACCCAGCUCGCAGUGUCCUUCACCCCUGCACCGCAGCACCAGGCCGCCCUUGUGUCAGGAAGAAGGGCGUAUCUCUGACUGCCUGGGACUGAAUGGUGGCUCUUCCAAACACUGCUUCGACACUAAAAUUUAGCUUCUCCUGCUAGGAUUUGAGGAUGCAUGAUAUUAAUGUAAUUAAGGAUGUAAUUAGCAGAGAUUAGGGAAACAGUUAAUGGUUAGAAGUGCAAAAAGGUAAACAAGACAGGUGCAAGAGACAGACAGCUUUGUAUCAGUUUCACCUCCCUUCAUCUCAGCAAAUUCAACCAUCUUGAAGCAGUUACCAGAUAUAUUCUGUGCAUCAGCUGUGUUCUUGGAACAGUGACAGAGGACUGCUGUACUGCAUUUUAUCAUCAGAUUAAGAACUCCUUUCCUUACCAUUAGAUUUUUCCAGAAUGGCCCCUCUACAACCACGACCUUCACAGCACUCUGAUGGACUGGGAUGUAUUUUCCUGCAGCUUCUUUCAUACUGAUUUUUUUUUUUUUUUUGUAAUAAUGCUUUGGGCAAAAAACCAUGAACUGAUUUCAGUGCCUGGGCAACAAAAAGGCACAGCUCGUUGUGGAGCUCAGAACUGAGACUUGGAACCACUCACAUGUGAAAGCUGGGAGCCCGGGGCACCGCAAAGAUAAAAGCUUUUGUCUCCAUGCUGCCAACACAUGACUGCAGCUGCCUGACCAUCAUCUUUGCUCUGAUUUGGAGCAGUCCACAGAGCACUGAAUUCAGGAGGAGCAUAGGCCUGUAGCCUUGGUGUUCCAUGCACCAUCCAUCACAACGAAUACUAAUCUCAUCCCACCCCCCCAAAAAAAUAAACAGCAGUAUGCAAGAGCAUUAAGGACACUACAGAAUCCGGAAGACUGCAGAGCUGAAGCAGCUCAGUGAGAUGAGAGCAAAGGGAAAACAAAAGAUGACCCCAGUACAGUGAGGAGGCCAGAAAUACAGGCCAAGGAGAUUAAGCAAGAACUUCAACUUCGAGAUGCUGGCUACUAAGUCUAUGCUAAGUCCAUGUCUGCCUGGCACCCAUCUUAUGGCAGCAACACUGGGAAGGCAAAAGUACUGAAAGCAGAGUGACAUUGCCACUGAAUGGCAUGAAGUGCCGAUCAUAGGGAACCCUACUGCUCCAUCUCCACAAGGAAAUCCAGACAAGACCAGGAAAAAUGCAAGGAAAAAAAAGGCAGAUGAAGACAGCCCAAACAAUCUAGGAAUAUUCCAACAGAACCAGGCUCCUGAGGCUGCAGGUGCCAUCAGAGGGAUAAAUGCCACAUUUAUCUGCCAGUUCAGCUCUCAAAGGUACACCUCCAAGCAACAGAAGGCUCUGAAUACAAGUGAGAUACCCCGAGUUAAUUGCUAUGAGAGCUCUCAGCAAGAUUUGUCUCCAACACACACAGCUGAGCGUGUCAGACAGGGACCCAGCAGAAGGUGCUGAAAGGCCAAACUUUAUUUAUCCCGUUCAGCUUCUUAGAGACAGGAAGAAAGGUGUUAGGUAGCAGAAUUACUUGGCAUCGUAGACAGGAGAAAGACUAUACAGGAUGAAGAAUUUUAAAGUAUUGGCAUGUACCCGGCUUAGAAAAGCCAACCAACAGAGGUUCUCUGGAGGCUGACACAGAACCAGCACUCAGGAGUGUGGCCACAGUGCUGGGAGCACACCUGCUAAUGUUCCUUCCAACAAACAAUGACACCACCUGUGAUUUAGGAUGCCUUCAGACCAAAACAGGUGCAUGUGACCUAUUAGUUUCCUGUUUCAGGAAACGGGCAAGCCUUACAUUGCUCAUCCAAUAUUGAUACACAGCACCUGACUGGUGCUGGCCAUUGGCCUUAUGGUAUACAGAACACCCAGUUUGGCAGACAGGUUUCUGCCACGCUGCAGAGAGCAUUCAAGGGAGAUCAGUGCUUGCAGUCCUGCAGAACACCUAUUAUAUCAGGUCCAUAUCCCCAAGUCACUUCAGCAACAGUGAAAGGAAGUCAGCAUUUCUACAAACAGCAAGUAUUCACAGUGCAGUGGGAUUUCAAACAGGUUCUGUGUAUUUUGGGGUUAGCGUGUAUAUUUGAAGACCAAAACCUAAAGGAUUAGCUGUGCUCACUGGAUUCCAGCUGGCACCAGCAGAACAUAGCUUUUCACUACCAUUUUCCUCUGUGAGGAAUAAGAAAGCUGAUUGAAUUGGAUUAUAAAAGUCAAGCCAACACAAGAUAACACAGCACCUGCUGCUCCACAAAAGCAUAGUGACCCCAGUACAAUCUUCAAAGCCUGUCCUGUUAAGCCAAGCCUGUUCUUUUGUCUUUCCAUAGGACCACAAUUCAAAGUGUUUCCAGGCUCUGGAAACAAGCUGUUUUUGCAAAAAGGAGCACCUGCACAUACAGCACUGGGAUUAGCAAUUAGAGGAGAUGGACCAGUCUGCUCUGAGGGGAUUCCCACAUUUCAGAGCAGGGAAAAGCUUAAGGAUAAGUCAGUGCUUGAACUGCAAGGGUUCCAGACACUAAAAAAAAAUCAUAUAAACAGCUGUCACUGUCUUCAGUAAGAAGGUGAUCCAAUUUUAUCCGCAACUUAAGAGCAGAAGCUAAGAUCAUGGAGGUACUAAGGCUCCUCAGUGCUACAAAAUAAGAUCUGAAAUACACCAAAACAAAAGCAAACUCUUUACCUUCAGCAUCAAUAACUGGAGCUUCAUACCAUAAGGCGAGAGUCUAAAGUGGUGAUAAUAAUGUAGCACAGCAGAAUUUGACAAAACACAGCAUGGGAAUGAAAGAAAUUACUAUUUAUUCUUCAACAUGAAUACAGCAUAUGCUAUUUUACAGCAAGUCACCACUGGCAUGGUGAAAUGGAAGAGGAAUACUCACUUUAGUCGAUGAAAGUUGGAAGGCAUUGGAGAAAAACACCACAGUUAGGACUGUUAAUGACUUACACAUUGUUGAUACAGGACUGAAUUUGAAAACAUGCUUUAACAUUUACCGUAAUAAUGAAGGUGGUUAGUGCCACAUCAAAAUAAAAAUAGUUCUAUACAAUAUGUUCAAUUUGGUCAUGUGCUAUUUACAGAUUUUACAAAAAACACACACGAGCUUGUUACUUCAAGUCAGACUAACAACAGGCCAGCAGAGCAACUCCAUGUAUACGAUGUAUCAUUAGUGCCCUAUGUGUAGUCAAUCCCAUUUCUAGCUAUGCAGUGCAAGUUAUUUUUCCAGGUUUUAUUACAAAUUUUGAUCUUAAAAAUGGCGGGGGAGAAACAAUCUGACACAAAAGGUAUUAAAAAAAAUCAACUGAAAUCCUCUUUUGGAAAUAAAACAGAUUGUGUUGGUUAAAAAGGCUUGGUUUAGAUUUAAGUCAACCUUCCUACCCCUGCAUCAUGGGCAACACUGGCAAAACAAGGUCUGCUACAAUAAAAAUACAAUAGACAAAUAAAUAAUCUUUUUUAAAAAACAAAAACCUAUGUGUGUUGAGUAUGGAAGAACCCCAGCAGGCUGCACCUGGAAUGGCAUUUUCUGCACGAGCAAGAUUAGGCAUACCUCAUACAGAAACUGGUGUAAACAAGGACAGUCAAGAACCCAGAGCGUAAGGGAGCAGGAAGAGGGAAAACCAAGAAGAAAUGCUGACCAGGGCAGCAGCACUCUCUACCCAGUGCAGAAAGUUCAGCUAACAAAUAAAGUAAAAUCUGACCAUAUGACAAAUUAAGUUUGGAUGACCAUGCAGAAGACAAACAGUUACAUGCUUUUGUUUUCUUUUUAGUUUUAGACGACACACAUUCAUUCCCUAAAAUCUGCUGCCAAUUUAGUUUGAUAGUGUCCGCUGGCUCAAAAAAAAGGUUUUCUUUACAUGAUGAAUAAACUAUUGAACAGAACACUGUACAUGCUUUUCAUCUACAAAAAAAUAUUUGCAUAAAAUAGUGUUAGUUCUCU